rnacentral:rRNA from 1 species
GAUGAACGCUGGCGGCGUGCCUAAUACAUGCAAGUCGAGCGAACAGGUGAGGAUCUCACUGUACUCACGUGAGCAACGGGCGGGUAAGUAACACGUGGAUAGCCUAGCUCUUAGGCUUGAAUCACUUCGGCAGACUGGAUCUAAGACCUGAUAAUAUAUUUAGUGUGAUGGUUCAAUAGUUACAUACGGUUUUGCUGACCCUUAGAGAUAGAACCGCGCCGGAUUAGCUAGUUGCUAAUGUAACGGCGUACCAAGGCCAUGAUGCGUGGGCGACCUGCGAGGGUGAUGCCGAACACUGGGACUGGAACACGGUCCAGACUCUUAGGGGAGGCAGCGGUAGGGAAUCGUCGGACAUGGGGGAAAGCCUGACGGAGGAGCGCCGCGUGGGUGAUGAAGGUAUUCGUAUCGUAAAACUGUGUUAUUAGGGAAGAACCAAUGCGUAAGUAACGAUGCACGUCUUGACGGUACCUAGUCAGAAAGCCACGGCUAACUACGUG